CAGUCGCCGCGGGAAUACGAAGGGUGCAAGCGUUACUCGGAAUUACUGGGCGCAAAGCGUGCGUAGGUGGUUGUUUAAGUCCGUUGUGAAAGCCCUGGGCUCAACCUGGGAAUUGCAGUGGAUACUGGGCAACUAGAGUGUGGUAGAGGAUAGUGGAAUUUCCGGUGUAGCAGUGAAAUGUGUAGAGAUCGGGAGGAACAUCAGUGGCGAAGGCGGCCAUCUGGGACAACACUGACGUUGAGGCACGAAAGCGUGGGGAGCAAACGGGAUUAGAUACCCCCGUAGUCCCUGUCUCUUAUAC
rnacentral:rRNA from 1 species